rnacentral:lncRNA from 1 species
GAAAACGCAUCUGAUUCAUUAAUCCGAAAUUUAAAAUAGGUUAUUCAUUGCCAUUACCUACAACAUAUAUUGUAAAUGCCCAAUUCUAUCCGGCCCACCAUAAACCAAAUGAAAAAAUAUUAAAGUCCAAUAAAAUAAACAGUCCAUUUACAUCAGGCCCAAAUUUACAAGCCCAAAAGAGCCCAAAUAAAUAAAAAACCUAGAGUCCCAGUGGCCCAAACUAUUUCAAAAUGCCACGUCAGCAUGCUUGCGCCCCAAGGUCUGCCACCGUCAUCGUCAACCACCACAUGCAAAAAAGAAAAAAGACAGACAAACACGCAAGGGCAACAAGAACAGUAGAAAAAAUAGAAAAAAUAAUAGUGCAAAUCGGCUAUAAAAAGCCUAAAAAAAGAUUGUAAGGGGUUGGUUUUUUGAAAUAGAAAUCGAACAAAAAAAAAAGAUACACGAAAAUACAUGAAGAAAUACUAACAAAAAGCAAAUAAAAAACAGAAUACAAAAAUUUAAAGGUGAUUUACUUUUUUUUUUCUUUUUUACAAGUUAUAAAUAAAAAUCGAUCACCUGUUGUUUGGUCUUCACACCAUUAUCAUUAUCUCUUCCGGUCCGAAGGCUGUCGAAUCCCUAGGGGUUCGGCCAAGGCCGCAACAGAGAACGUCGAAAAUCGAAAGGUUUUCUCCUAUUUCUAGAAGAUUGGCUUCGUGUAACACCCCUUACCCGUAUUCGACGCUGAAAUAGGGUACGAGGCAUUACCAGAACACAUACACUUGUAAACAGGGUACGAGGCAUUACCAGAACACAUACACUUGUAAACAUAUUAAACCGUGUUAUAAAAUUUCAUAUAAACUCAUCAUACAUAAUUUUUUUCUUGUAUCAACAUAUUAAAGAUAAUCAUACAUUUACAUGUCAUGAUACAUAUCAUUCUCUUGCCGUUUCUCUAUAAGCAUAUAUCAUUCAUUUCAUUAUUUCGAUAUUUCAUGUAUUAUCAUUUUCAUGAAUUAUGCGUACAUACCAGUAAUAGUUCAUUUCAAACUCAUGUUAUCUCACUUCAAAACUUUGCCCGUUAUAUCAUUUAAAUAUCAUUGGUUACAUUUAUUUGAGAUCAAUACCAAUAAUAAUUCAUUUCUCAAUAUUUACAAUUCAAUUUGGCUUUCAUUUGGUAACAUCAUAUACUAUUACAUUGAGCCUUUAUUUAUUUCAGGAACAAUUAGUUCAUACUUUCUAUUCACAUGGUCAUAUUUAAUUCACAUUUUCAAAUUAUAUGCCACAAUAACGUUUCCUUUCAAUGGCUCGACUGUUUCAUUUCGUUCGAUAACUUUUCAUUUAAUUACCUCUAUUAAUAGACUCGGGCUUUGACGGAUACGUGGAUUCCAACCAAACACACCAGUACGGCACAUUGUGCCUAAAACGGUACAUAGUACUUGAUCAGUAAUCAGUAACGGUAGCAGUAACAGUAACAGUAUUCAACACACAAAGUGCUGAAUCUGUAAUAGUAACGGUAAUAGAAUUCGACACACAAAGUGCCGAAUCGGUGACAAUAACAGUAACAGUAUUUGGCGCACAAACUGUUGAAUCGGUAACAGUAACAGUAACAGUAAUAGUAUUCGACACACAAAGUAUCGAAUCGGUAACAGUAACAGUAGUCAGCACGUAAGUGCCUGAUUAGUAAGCCGGCAAAACCCCGUACUCUUCCAUAUCCUAUGGCAUGCCAACUAUAUCCGACUAGCCCGACUAGUUAAUAGGGUAUUUAAUUCACUUUCCAGUACAAAUUUUCAUCUUAGUUCAGUAUCACUUAUAAUUCCUUAUUUCAAUCAGUUUCACAGUAUUGCAGUAAUUCAUUACUUCAGUAAUUUCACAGUUCAAUGCAGUACACAUAACAAUAUUCAGAAUUCCAUUCAUGACAUUUUUUCAUGCCAAAUCAUAUACCAAACAUUCCACACAUACAUAUGCUAUGAAACUUUAUUUCCCCACAUGAGCUUAAACCGUGACCAAUAAUGCACAAAUAUAAGCAUCAUUUCUAUUUCAACAUUUGUCGAUUAUAAUCGAAUAUAUGACCAAUUAUACACAAUUCAUUCAUAUAUAUUUCCAAUUUUCCUCCUCCUCCUCUCCAUUCCACAUCCUCAAUGUAUAUAACACGCUUAAACAACAUUAACUAUAUUUUCACUGUUUACUUAUAUGUAAAUUCAAAGUUGUCUAUGCGAGUCAGAGUCACUAAAUCAUUUAUAUCUCAAGAUACAGAGCUCCAAAUUAAGAUCUGUUAAUUUUCCUAGAAACUAAACUCAUAUAUCUUCUUACCAUAAAAUUUUCAAAAUUUUUGGCUUAGCCAACAAGUACAGUUUAUUCUUUAAAGUCUCCCCUAUUUCACUGUUUAGUAGUUCUGACCUCUCUUCACUAAAAAUUAAUUAUCUCAUUGUAGAGAGUUCUGAUGAUAUUCUUGUUUGUUUAUCUUGAAAAUAAACUCUUUCAGGAUUUCAAACAUAUAAAUUAUAACUCAUAAUUAUUUUUUUACUAUUUUUAAUUAUUUUCCAAAGUUAGAACAGGGGAUUCCGAAAUCAUUCUGACCAUGUCUUACUAAAAUUCAAAUAUCUCAAAAUAUAUAACUCUUUUGCUUACGUUGUUUCUUUUAUGUGAAAAUAUACUCAUUAAGAUUUAAUUUCAUAUAUUACUCAACCUCUAAUUCAAUUUUCACCAUUUUUGGUGAUUUUUCAAAGUCACACAACUAUUGCUGUCCAAAACUAUUUUGUUGCUAAAUUUACUCUUUCAUAAUUUCACUUACUCUAUUUCACUGAUCAAGGUCAAUUUCUCAUCUUUCUUGAUUUAUAAUAACACAUUUAACUUAUUUAACAUUCAUGUUAUUCAAUAUAGUCCAAAAAUCAUACUUUGGUAAAAUUACAUUUUUCCCCUAAAGUUUCACAAAAUUACAAUUUUACCCCUAGGCUCGUAAAAUAAUUUUUAUUCAAUUUCCUUACAUUUUAUGCCUAGCUGAAUCAUUUUCAUAACUACAGCAGUCCACAAUUUCCAUUAAUUCAUACACUUACAUACAAUUCACAGCUUUUUACAAAUUAGUCUUUUUAGGCAAUUUCAUUGAAAAUCAUCUAGUAAAAGUUGUUUCUCUAAUCAUAAACAUGUAUAAUCUACCAUUAACCAUCAAAAUACACAAAUUUCUAACAUGGGUCAAAACCUAGACCUUCAUCAUAUCUCGAAUAAAUGAUAGAAAUUGGUAGAUCAUGUAACAAGAAUUUCAAAAACAUGAAAAUCAUUAAAAAUGGGGCAAGAACGGACUUACUAUGGAGCUUGAAAGCUUGAACCAAACCCUAGCCAUGGCUUCCAUGACAUAUUCGGUCAGCCCCCCAUGAGAAG